rnacentral:rRNA from 1 species
AGUGAACGCUGGCGGUAGGCCUAACACAUGCAAGUCGAACGGCAGCACAGUAAGAGCUUGCUCUUACGGGUGGCGAGUGGCGGACGGGUGAGGAAUACAUCGGAAUCUACUUUUUCGUGGGGGAUAACGUAGGGAAACUUACGCUAAUACCGCAUACGACCUACGGGUGAAAGCAGGGGGUCUUCGGACCUUGCGCGAUUGAAUGAGCCGAUGUCGGAUUAGCUAGUUGGCGGGGUAAAGGCCCACCAAGGCGACGAUCCGUAGCUGGUCUGAGAGGAUGAUCAGCCACACUGGAACUGAGACACGAUCCAGACUCCUACGGGAGGCAGCAGUGGGGAAUAUUGGACAAUGGGCGCAAGCCUGAUCCAGCCAUACCGCGUGGGUGAAGAAGGCCUUCGGGUUGUAAAGCCCUUUUGUUGGGAAAGAAAAGCAGCAGGUUAAUACCCCGCUGUUCUGACGGUACCCAAAGAAUAAGCACCGGCUAACUUCGUG